UCAGGUGGCCAAAGUAUUGGAGCUUCAACCUCAGCAUCAGUCCUUCCAAUGAAUAUUCAGGACUGAUUUCCUUUAGGAUUGACUGGUUUGAUCUCCUUGCAGUCCAGGGGACUCUCAAGAGUCUUCUCCAACACCACAGUUCAAAAGCAUCAAUUCUUCUGCACUCAGCUUUCU